GACACACAGCAGUGGAAACUAAGGUGGAGACUCAAGCAACAACAGUAUCUGCCAUUGACAAAGGCUAAAUUGUACAGUACAACAUAUCACUCGACCUAUCAACAGUAGUACAUUUCAGAAAGUCUACUGUUCUCAGCAAGGGUCCAAAUAAAAGGCCUGGAAGACUUCAAUGAAGCCACUUGAAAACGACAAGGCUAGAGUCUCUGACCGCAACUCUGGCCAACAUGACAGGCUUCCAUAUGAGAUCGUAGCUUUGGCAGAGGAGGAAGAAUGGGAAACAGAGGAGUGAAGGAACGACAGACAAGCGGAAAAGGAGGUAGUGCCGAAGGAGUGAGCGGUUCUAGAAGACUGAGGACCUUCCGUUCUGCUGGGGACUCAGAGAACAGCUUACAUCUCUUGGUAUCGUCACUGGCCUGGCCUCCACACACCAACAAGACCAGCUGAACAGCCAGAACUAACAGCCACACAGACGUCGCUGUGUGUGGGGGGGACAUGGACACCUGGGGAAAAUAUAUAAUGGUACACGAUUAAAAUACUAUACUUUGUAA